rnacentral:rRNA from 1 species
CCCAGGUCAGGCGGGAUCACCCGC